UUCUUAUCAAGAGAAGUGGAGGGAAUGGCCCAAUGAAGCUUCAGCAACCAGCCAACCAUGGUCAGGUGCUAAAUCCAGCAGUUUAUCUGCAAGAUAAGAG
rnacentral:ncRNA from 14 species